AACAGGCUAGCACAGCACCAGAAGCGUUGACUUUUGCAAAUGCAGCUUGCCAAUUCGUUACAUUGUUUCUGACCCCGUCAAGGUUCUAGGAACAGUAAUCUGCUGCUAUGUCUCCAAAUUUCAAAGAUCUUCCAUUCUGCAAACAAGUUUAAAGCUUCCCAUUCUUCCUUGAAUCUGAUCGAAGAUCUGCAAGAUCAGCCACCAGGAAUGACAGAAAUUGGUGAUGACGGUUUCUUUUUAAGAAGAGGUGGUAUCAACGUCAGAGGACAAGCCACAGUGCAAAACUACCCGUGGGAAAUUAUGCCUUCUUGUUGCUGUUCGUCUGAGCACAGUUGCAGAACUGGCAGUCAGCUGCACUUGGCAUAUGGAGUCCCAAGGAGAAUGAUGUUGAACUGUCAGCUUACGAUUUGGAGGCGCAAAACCAGUGCCACUGAAUGAAUUUUCUGCAAGACUUCUGAGCUUUGUCAGAUCUCUUCUGACCUUACCAAGCUAUGUGUCAACGUAUUAAAUAUUGACUCAAAUUUUUCUAAGGCGUGAGUAUAACUUUAAAAACACACACAUGGCAGAAUAAGAUAAUAUUCCUUUCUCAUGUCUCAUUCGCU
rnacentral:lncRNA from 1 species